UAGGUUCUUCUGUGAUAUGUUUUCAUGGUGUGGGAAUAAGACUUGGUGGUCUAAUACAGCUAAUACAAAGGUUAGCAUCACAGCUUGUCUGUAAGGAUUGAAGCUGGGAGUGGGCAUUGGAGCUGACUUUUAUGGUAACUGUGACUGCAUUAAAGGGCUAUAUGAUUUUACUGUAACAGUAGAGAAUGUAAUUCAGACUAUUUUUGUGUAUGUUUGAGAAAAUGUUUAUAAUUUUUACCAUAUAAAAAAAAAAUAUGUACAGGUUCUCUAUUUUCAACAAGAUUGGAAGUUGUAGGUUAAUAGGUCUUUGAAAUUUAAAAAAUACUAUUUUUUGUUCAUACUCACAUCUAGAGAAAACACUUCCAAGAAGUUUAAAAAUGGAGAAUCUAAAAAAAAAAAAAGAAAAAAAAAAUGUUCAAUUAUUGAAAGGUUUUUGUUCAGCCUUUGACUUAAGUAAAAAAGAGAGACAUAAGGAUCCUACAUUCUGUUAUUUGCUUGGUCUGACAGCGUCCACAUAUGAGGGGGAAUAGGAGGGGUCCUGAGCCUGAAAUUCCAGGCUUAAAAACACGAAAUCCUGAGGUCCCAAAAUUGGAAAAAAAUAAUUCCCGGAUCCCGAAAGGGUCAAUCCUGAAAUCCCAAGCUUAAAAACACCAGAUCCUGGAGUCCCAAUAAAGAUCAUAUCCCCCUCACAUAUAUUCAGUUAUUUUUCUUGCAUAAGCUGGACCUAGUUUUUGGUCAAGGUAGUUUUUAAUGAAGCUGAAGUCAAAUCAACUUGAAACUUAGUACACUUGUUGCUUAUGAUAUGACCUUUCUAAUUUUAAAGCCUAAUUAGACUUUUGACCCCGAAUUCAUGGCCCACUGAACAUAGAAAUGAAAGUGGGAGUUUCAGGUUAAACUUUUUGGUCAAGGUAGUUUUUGAUGAAAUUGAAGUCCAAUCAACUUGUUCCCUAUAGUAUUAUCUUUCUAAUUUUAAUGCGAAAUUAGAUUUUUACCGAAUUUCAUGGUUCAUGGAACAUGGAAAAUGAUAGUGCGAAUGGGGCAUUCAUGUACUUUGGACAAAUUCUGGUUCUGGUGUGAUUUGAACAGUCCCUCCUUCCCCUGGACAACCAAUUAUUUAUUGCUUAAAUUAAUCAUAUGGAUUUUCAUUAAAAGGUAAAAAAAAAAAAUGAUAGUAGUUAAUGCUGUAUGCAGAGUGUGUGAUAUAUUUUUCUGGUUCACCAAGGUCUUUAAAUGCAUUUUUUUUUCAAUUUUCAGAUCCCACAAACAUAAGCUAAAGGAACCUGCAAAAUAAGAUUUGUCUUUGUUUAAUUUGUAAUGAUAUGUUAAAGAGCAAAAUGUUUGUAUUUGUCCAUCUGUGUCUUCGAUCCAAAACUCCAAUUACAUAUAGUAAUCUGUAUAAAGUGGAUCCAGGGAUCAUGUAUGCAGGGUAGGGUUUCGAUAAAACACAGAGUUAAAUGUUUUAUAAGAACAAGACUUUAGGGAUUGCUACAGUGAUUUAAUUAGACAUAAUUUGGUUUGUAUGGCACCUUCAUCGAGAUUAAAGCUACAAGAUAGUACAAAAUCCUGUAGUGAUAAUUUAUAUUUCACAAUGUCACCACCAGGAUACAUUAUAAAUAAGAAGUAAAGGUAGAUUCGAAAGUUAACUGGAUUAAGAAUGUUAAAUAAAAUAUGUUUUUGUAAAUUUGGACGACAUUUGACUUGCAAUUAUGUACUAUUUACUACACUGGAUGUAGUACAGACUUGCUUAACGUACCAUUUCAAUACUGGGAAGAGUACGUUUGUCUGAGCGAAGCCAAUUGGAAGCAUGUACCUCUUAGUGAAGCUAAUUGGGAGUACAUACCCUCUGUCUUGUUGCGAAGCUGAUUGGAAGCAGUACAUAUACACCUCUGUCUGCUUAACUUAUUAGAAGCAGUACCCUUGGCAGAGUGGUCCCAAUUAGAGGCAGUAACUCUGAGCGAAGCCAAUUGGAAGCAUGUACCUCUGCAAAAUUUGAUCAAACACUAUUCAACAAAUUUUAGUUAACAUUCUUUUAAAGUUUACUUUCAUAUCUUCUUUUAUUUUUUUUAUUUAUCAUUAUUCCCCCUGUUGACAUUAAUUAUUAAGUGCAAAUUAUCACUUCACCGUUUUGUACUCUUUUGUCACUAAGUUUUUAUUCUGAUGAAAGUGCUGUAGAAAUUAAAACAUGCCAAUAUAGUUUGAUUACUCCAACAAUCCCUGAAGUAUUAUUAUAAGAAUUAUCAUAAAUGAAUCUUUUAUAGACCAUUGAAAUAAAAAUAAAUACUAUGCAUUUUGCUGGUUAUUUAUUUCACUUUUUGUCAAGCCUUCGAAUGUAGUUGAAAAAGCAAGAAAUAGCAAUUCUUCAUCCUUUUGGCUGCUGCAGCGGUCAUAAAUAUUCACUCUGUAGUUCACGUUUUUGAAAUCUUAAUUAUUUUCUUAAACUAUCCUGGAUUUUUACAAAACUUGGACAGAAGCUUGUUUAUGACCAUAAGAUAAUAUCUAGAAGUAAAUUUUGUGAUUUAAAAAAAAAUCAAUUUUUACUUAUAACUGGACUUUCUGCCAGGAAACAAUAUAUUCACUCUGUGGUUUAAGUUUUUCAAUUUUUUUAAUAGCUUUCUUAAACUAUCCUGGGUUUGUACCAAACUUGGACUGAACCUUGUUUAUGAUCAAGAGAUAAUAAUAAGUAUGUAAGGAAAAUGUGUACCUGUUUAUCUGUAUUUUACUUAUAAAUGGACUUCGUUUUAUUUCCAGUUAAUAUAAUUUACAGUCUGCAAACAUUUAUUAAAUUCAAAAGAUCCAGAACUUUUCACAAAAGGGGGGGGGGG